CCUACGGGCGGCAGCAGUGAGGAAUAUUGGUCAAUGGCCGGAAGGCUGAACCAGCCAAGCCGCGUGAAGGACGAAGGUGCCAAGCAUUGUAAACUUCUUUUGUCAAGGGACAAAAUCAGGCUCGAGAGCCUGACCGAGGGUACUUGAAGCAAAAGCAUCGGCUAACUCCGUGCCAGCAGCCGCGGUAAUACGGAGGAUGCGAGCGUUAUCCGGAUUUAUUGGGUUUAAAGGGUGCGUAGGCGGGCUGUUAAGUCAGCGGUAAAAGCCCGGGGCUCAACCCCGGCGAGCCGUUGAAACUGGCUGUCUAGAGAUGUCGAGAGGGAUGCGGAAUGCGAGGUGUAGCGGUGAAAUGCUUAGAGAUUGCGCAGAACUCCGAUUGCGAAGGCAGCAUACCGGCGGCGAUCUGACGCUGAGGCACGAAAGCGUGGGUAUCGAACAGGAUUAGAUACCCUAGUAGUC
rnacentral:rRNA from 1 species